rnacentral:rRNA from 1 species
GGCUUAGAGUUUGAUCAUGGCUCAGGACGAACGCUGGCGGCGUGCUUAACACAUGCAAGUCGAACGGGGUGUUUAUUUCGGUAAACACCAAGUGGCGAACGGGUGAGUAACGCGUAAGCAAUCUACCUUCAAGAUGGGGACAACACUUCGAAAGGGGUGCUAAUACCGAAUGAAUGAGAGAUGACCGCAUGGAUAUUUCUCUAAAGGAGGCCUCUGAAAAUGCUUCCGCUUGAAGAUGAGCUUGCGUCUGAUUAGCUAGUUGGUGAGGGUAAAGGCCCACCAAGGCGACGAUCAGUAGCCGGUCUGAGAGGAUGAACGGCCACAUUGGGACUGAGACACGGCCCAGACUCCUACGGGAGGCAGCAGUGGGGAAUCUUCCGCAAUGGGUGAAAGCCUGACGGAGCAACGCCGCGUGAACGAAGAAGGUCUUAGGAUCGUAAAGUUCUGUUGUUAGGGGCGAAGGGCAACAUUUUGAAUAAGGGUGUUGUUUGACGGUACUUAACGAGGAAGCCACGGCUAACUACGUGCCAGCAGCCGCGGUAAUACGUAGGCGGCAAGCGUUGUCCGGAAUUAUUGGGCGUAAAGGGAGCGCAGCGGGAAGUUAAGAGGACUUUAAAAGUGCGGGGCUCAACCCCGUGAGGGGUCCGAACUGAUUUUCUUGAGUGCAGAGAGGGAAGCG